rnacentral:rRNA from 1 species
AUGCCCCCGCUUCCGCGCCUCUUCGCCUCCGUCAGACACAUCUGCUCCAGCUCCGCCUCCGAGCUCGCCCCGGUACCGACCGCCGUCUCUGACGCCGCCUCCCGCGCGGCAGCCGCCGUGCUCCGCGCCCCGCGCUUCGAGCCCCGCCUCCUGUCGCUCGUCCCACGCCAACUGCUCUUCGAGCCGAGCUGCGUCCGCCAAACCCUCUCCCGUCUCCUCCCCUCCCCUGAACCCUCGCUNNNNNNNNNNNNNNNNNNNNNNNNNNNNNNNNNNNNNNNNNNNNNNNNNNNNNCCCCUUCGCCUCACCUCCCCGGGAUCGACGCCUUCCUCCUCAGCCUCCAGCCACAUCUCGCCGCCGAUGCCGCCGCGCUGCUAGCCUCCCACCUCCGCCUCCACCCCUCCCUGCCCGCACUCAACGCGGCAUCCCGUGCCGCUCUCCGGGCCGCGCGCCCCGACCUCGUCUUCCGCCUCUUUUCCACCUUCUCCUCCUCCCCUGCCUUCCCAGGCAACGCGGACACCGUCGCCUGCCUCGUGCGCGCCUGUGCAGCCGACUGCCGCCCGCUCGAUGGCCUCCGCCUCCUCCGGGAUGCUGCACGACGUGGCUCCCCUCCCUCGUCUGCUGCUGCCGCCGACCUUGUCACGUCCUUUGUGGCCAUCGGCAACUUCGCAAAGGUGUCUGAGACGCUCCACCUCAUGAUCUCUGCGGGAUGUCCUCCAGCUACGUUUGUCUACCAGCGUGUCAUACAUGGGCUCUUUGCGCAUGGGAUGGGCGGCGAGGCCCUUCGUGUCUUCAGCGAGAUCAAGCUGCGUGGUUAUGCCAUAGAUGUAGUCACUUACAGCACAGUGCUCACCGGUUUAUGUAAAAUGGGCCAUAUUGCCGAUGCGCAGCAGAUGUGGGAUGAGAUGGUGGACAAAGGUAUACAGCCCAGUGAGUAUGCAUAUUGCUCUUUUCUCGAUUACUACUGUGAAGCUGGUGAUUUUGGGAUGGCUCUCAAGGUGUAUGAAGAAAUGCUUGACAAGGGGUUCAAGGAGAGCACAGUUAGCUGUAACAUUAUCGCCAAAGGGUUUUGUGUUCAUAGGAGGGUGGACGAAGCAGUUGGGGUGUUCAAGGGAAUGGUUACUAAAGGGAUUGAACAUGAUGUGAUAACUUAUAACACGUUGAUUCAGGGCCUAUGCAAGGUUGGUAGGUUGGCUGAGGCGAUAGGGAUGUAUCAGCGGCUACUCUCAUCUGGUUUGGAGCCAAGUGUGCAGACCUUCACACCACUCAUUGACACCUUGUGCGAGGAAGGACAGGUUGAUCAUGCUGUUGAAUUACUUACCUUGAUGCAGGCUAAGGGCUUGGAACCGUUGGAACGUAGCAAUGAUAGUGUCAUCAAUGGGUUCUGUAAGGUCAGGCGGGCUGAUGAUGGUAUGGCAUGGUUGGCUAGCAUGUUGAAGAACAAUCUGAAACCUCAGGAACAGACGUUCAAUUCUUUGCUGGAGUCGCUGAGGAAAUCCGAGCGAAUGGAUGACGCACUGCUGAUUCUGAAUACAAUGUUUAAAGCUGGAUAUGAAUUAGGCAGUUUGGCUUCUGCUAUACUUGUUGAUAAGUUAUGCACAGGCAAUGUAUCUCAUCCUCAAACGUUGGAUGAUAUUUUGGUGAGCAGCUAG